ensembl:lncRNA novel transcript, antisense to MLEC
UAAGUCAGAGCUAGACUGCAGAACUCUCAGCCCAGCUCUGCAGCAGACAUCUGCGUCAUCCUCCCAGAAAUUCAACUCAGGCCACACUUCUGGCAAAAGAAGUUUCACCCUGACUGUCCUUGUUUUCAGUCAGCUGGGCUCAGUGGGAUCUAAAAACCUGGGACAGAGUGUAGAUCCAGUAGAGGAGCCCAGGCCUCUCCUCCACGCACCCCUCACUGGCACCCCUCACCAUCUCCCAUACAUUCCCUAUGGUGGUAAAGGAGAAGACAUUCAAGCAGAGAACCCCAAAUCCCCGUGUCUCCUUCCCUUCUUGGCUAUAACUUAGUGGGAUGGUUGAGAGGGAGAAGAAAUUUCAAAUGAGCCAGAUUAAGGAAACAAACAAACAAACAAAACUGAGAAGAAAUCAAGUCCCCAACAGGCACUGAAAUCAAAAUGAUUUGUUGUGGUAACAAGUCAGAGGCGAUCUGAGGACCCGACAUAACCGAAACGUCUUGGAUGCUGGACAGUCUAUAACUGGCACAUGCCAGGGAGACAAGCAAUGACAAAGCUCAAACACUAAAGGUGGGACCAUCACU